GUAGCGGCCUGUGCAUCUAAUGGCUAGAACCGACGCAGUCGCGCAACGAGUGAAUAACAGCCUUGCCACUCCUCGCUCGCAGUUCCCAUACAAAGGGGGUAGCGAAAGGGUAAGGUAACGCUACGGUAGACACGACAGUGGUUACGGGCAAACAGGAUAAAUUUAAGUUCAAGGUACGAUACGUUUCUGAAAAAUAAACACCAU
rnacentral:lncRNA from 1 species